AUUGAACGCUGGCGGCAGGCUUAACACAUGCAAGUCGAGCGGUAACAGAGAGAAGCUUGCUUCUCUGCUGACGAGCGGCGGACGGGUGAGUAAUGCCUAGGAAUCUGCCUAGUAGUGGGGGAUAACUUGCCGAAAGGUAAGCCAAUACCGCAUACGUCCUACGGGAGAAAGGAGGGGACCUUCGGGCCUUUCGCUAUUAGAUGAGCCUAGGUCGGAUUAGUUAGUUGGUGAGGUGAUGGCUCACCAAGACCGCGAUCCGUAACUGGUCUGAGGGGAUGAUCAGUCACACUGGAACUGAGACACGGUCCAGACUCCUACGGGAGGCAGCAGUGGGGAAUAUUGGACAAUGGGGGGAACCCUGAUCCAGCCAUGCCGCGUGUGUGAAGAAGGUCUUAGGAUUGUAAAGCACUUUAAGUUGGGAGGAAGAGCAGUUAACUAAUAUUUGACUGUUUUGACGUUACCGACAGAAUAAGCACCGGCUAACUUCGUGCCAGCCGCCGCCGUAA
rnacentral:rRNA from 1 species